CUUCAUCUCAAAAAAACAAAAAAGUAUUACAUGUCUACCAAUAUCAUUUAAUAUAAUUUAUAUGUAUAUUUACUAUAUUUUUAAACCUAAAUCUUUUUCUUUCUAUCAAUUUUUUCCAGUUUCUUCCUCUAUGACUUUGUUUGAGCAAGCAGAUGGAAGAUUAAUUCUUAUACAAGAAGCUGAGCUAAGUGAGUAGCUGAAGAUGAACGGAAGCCCAGAGGUUUUGCAGGUCACCAGAAAAGCCCUAAUCGAAGGAGGUACUAUACAAAUUUAGAAGAAAUAGUGCAUGAUUGUUCACGAAAGGUUCCUGGAUUUGCAGUGUUUGGCAGAGGAGGAGACAUGGACAAAUACUGAAACUCCUGCUAAAGGUAAACAUGAAAAGGACACUCCUUCAAAGGGCAGGCGCUGUGCUGGGCUCUGGGACUCGCGGGUGAACUGCACAGAGACAGGAGUGCUGCAUCUGGAUGGCAUGGCAGAGGGAUGCCCCAACUGCUACCGCUCCAGUUAUAGUUCCACGGUGAUGGGGAGAAGAAAGAGGCUCUUCCAGGAAACAGCCUUGGGGACAAGGAGACCACACUCCUGGGUGAUUCGAAGAUCAGACAAGGCUCCUGUAAAAUGAACGAAUGAAGUGAAUGAAUGAGACAGAAAGACGUUCCCAUCUGUCAUGGCAGCUCAUCACCUUCAGCAGCCUCUGAAAGGACCCCACAAGCCCUCACCUUGUACUGAGGGUUGCCCCACACAUGUCUGCACGGGCUAUUUGAGGGUCUCUGCACCCAGACCUCUCCCUGGAUGGAGUUUGGCAGGUGGUCAGUUUUGCUGUGUGAAUUGUAAGUAAAGAGUCUUUUAGCAACCACCUCCCCACUCUCUGCAGCCUCAACUUCACGG